UCCGGCUUUCACCGGCUGUCCCCUUAGAGUGCCCGGCUUUACCCGCUGGCAACUAAGGGCAGGGGUUGCGCUCGUUGCGGGACUGAACCCAACAUCUCACGACACGAGCUGACGACAACCAUGCACCACCUGUCUCCGCUGCCCCGAAGGGAAGGUGCAUCUCUGCACCGGUCAGCGGGAUGUCAAGCCCUGGUAAGGUUCUUCGCGUUGCUUCGAAUUAAACCACAUGCUCCACCGCUUGUGCGGGCCCCCGUCAAUUCCUUUGAGUUUCAGCCUUGCGGCCGUACUCCCCAGGCGGAGUGCUUAUUGGGUUUCCUUCGGCACAGAGGGCUUGACGCCCCCAACACCUAGCACUCAUCGUUUACGGCGUGGACUAC
rnacentral:misc_RNA from 1 species